CAAGCGUUGUUCGGAAUUAUUGGGCGUAAAGGGUGCGUAGGCGGUUUGAUAAGUCAUCUGUGAAAUCUCUGGGCUCAACCCAGAGUCUGCAGGCGAAACUGUCGGGCUUGAGUAUGGGAGAGGUGAGUGGAAUUCCCGGUGUAGCGGUGAAAUGCGCAGAUAUCAGGAGGAACACCAAUGGCGAAGGCAGCUCGCUGGGACGGUACUGACGCUGAGACGCGAAAGCGUGGGGAGCAAACAGG
rnacentral:rRNA from 1 species